GCGGUAGUGGUGAAAUGGUAGACACGCUACUUUGAGGGGGUAGUGGGCAUUGGCCUGUGUGAGUUCGACUCUCACCUACCGCACGA
rnacentral:tRNA from 1 species